rnacentral:rRNA from 1 species
GAGUUUGCUCCUGGCUCAGAUUGAACGCUGGCGGCAUGCCUAACACAUGCAAGUCGAACGGUAACGCGGAGAGCUUGCUCUCUGGCGACGAGUGGCGGACGGGUGAGUAACGCGUAGGAAUCUGCCCAGUAGUGGGGGACAACCUGGGGAAACCCGGGCUAAUACCGCAUACGCCCUACGGGGGAAAGCGGGGGAUCUUCGGACCUCGCGCUAUUGGAUGAGCCUACGUCCGAUUAGCUUGUUGGUGGGGUAAUGGCCUACCAAGGCGACGAUCGGUAGCUGGUCUGAGAGGACGAUCAGCCACACUGGGACUGAGACACGGCCCAGACUCCUACGGGAGGCAGCAGUGGGGAAUAUUGGACAAUGGGCGCAAGCCUGAUCCAGCAAUGCCGCGUGUGUGAAGAAGGCCUGCGGGUUGUAAAGCACUUUCAGUAGGGAAGAAAAGCUCAUGGUUAAUACCCGUGAGUCUUGACGUUACCUACACAAGAAGCACCGGCUAAUUCCGUGCCAGCAGCCGCGGUAAUACGGAAGGUGCUAGCGUUAAUCAGAAUCACUGGGCGUAAAGCGCGCGUAGGCGGCUUGGUAAGUCAGAUGUGAAAGCCCCGGGCUCAACCUGGGAACUGCAUUUGAAACUGCCGGGCUAGAGUGCAGUAGAGGGAAGUGGAAUUCCGCGUGUAGCGGUGAAAUGCGUAGAUAUGCGGAGGAACACCAGUGGCGAAGGCGACUUCCUGGACUGACACUGACGCUCAGGUGCGAAAGCGUGGGGAGCAAACAGGAUUAGAUACCCUGGUAGUCCACGCCGUAAACGAUGGGUACUAGAUGUCGCGGGAUUAAGUUUUUAGUGGCGCAGUUAACGCGUUAAGUUCUCCGCCUGGGGAGUACGGCCGCAAGGUUAAAACUCAAAGGAAUUGACGGGGGCCCGCACAAGCGGUGGAGCAUGUGGUUUAAUUCGAUGCAACGCGAAGAACCUUACCUGCCUUUGACAUCCUCGGAACCCCGCGGAGACGCGGGGGUGCCUUCGGGAGCCGAGUGACAGGUGCUGCAUGGCUGUCAUCAGCUCGUGUCGUGAGAUGUUGGGUUAAGUCCCGUAACGAGCGCAACCCUUGUCCUUAGUUGCCAGCGGUUCGGCCGGGAACUCUAGGGAGACUACCGUUGACAAGGCGGAGGAAGGUGGGGAUGACGUCAAGUCAUCAUGGCCCUUAUAGGCGGGGCUACACACGUGCUACAAUGGCCGGUGCAGAGGGCCGCGGACCCGCGAGGGCGAGCAAAUCCCACAAAACCGGUCGUAGUCCGGAUCGGAGUCUGCAACUCGACUCCGUGAAGCCGGAAUCGCUAGUAAUCGCGGAUCAGCACGCCGCGGUGAAUACGUUCCCGGGCCUUGUACACACCGCCCGUCACACCAUGGGAGUGGGUUGUACCAGAAGUAGGUAGUCUAACCGCAAGGAGGACGCUUACCACGGUAUGGUUCAUGACUGGGGUGAAGUCGUAACAAGGUAACC